UAGAGGGCAACCUGCCUAUAAGACUGGGAUAACUUCGGGAAACCGGAGCUAAUACCGGAUACGUUCUUUUCUCGCAUGAGAGAAGAUGGAAAGACGGUUUACGCUGUCACUUAUAGAUGGGCCCGCGGCGCAUUAGCUAGUUGGUGAGGUAAUGGCUCACCAAGGCGACGAUGCGUAGCCGACCUGAGAGGGUGAUCGGCCACACUGGGACUGAGACACGGCCCAGACUCCUACGGGAGGCAGCAGUAGGGAAUCUUCCGCAAUGGACGAAAGUCUGACGGAGCAACGCCGCGUGAACGAAGAAGGCCUUCGGGUCGUAAAGUUCUGUUGUUAGGGAAGAACAAGUACCAGAGUAACUGCUGGUACCUUGACGGUACCUAACCAGAAAGCCACGGCUAACUACGUGCCAGCAGCCGCGGUAAUACGUAGGUGGCAAGCGUUGUCCGGAAUUAUUGGGCGUAAAGCGCGCGCAGGUGGUUCCUUAAGUCUGAUGUGAAAGCCCACGGCUCAACCGUGGAGGGUCAUUGGAAACUGGGGAACUUGAGUGCAGAAGAGGAAAGUGGAAUUCCAAGUGUAGCGGUGAAAUGCGUAGAGAUUUGGAGGAACACCAGUGGCGAAGGCGACUUUCUGGUCUGUAACUGACACUGAGCGCG
rnacentral:rRNA from 2 species